rnacentral:rRNA from 1 species
UGGGGAAUAUUGCACAAUGGGCGCAAGCCUGAUGCAGCCAUGCCGCGUGUAUGAAGAAGGCCUUCGGGUUGUAAAGUACUUUCAGCGGGGAGGAAGGGAGUAAAGUUAAUACCUUUGCUCAUUGACGUUACCCGCAGAAGAAGCACCGGCUAACUCCGUGCCAGCAGCCGCGGUAAUACGGAGGGUGCAAGAGUUAAUCGGAAUUACUGGGCGUAAAGCGCACGCAGGCGGUUUGUUAAGUCAGAUGUGAAAUCCCCGGGCUCAACCUGGGAACUGCAUCUGAUACUGGCAAGCUUGAGUCUCGUAGAGGGGGGUAGAAUUCCAGGUGUAGCGGUGAAAUGCGUAGAGAUCUGGAGGAAUACCGGUGGCGAAGGCGGCCCCCUGGACGAAGACUGACGCUCAGGUGCGAAAGCGUGGGGAGCAAACA